rfam:Triticum aestivum genome assembly, contig: Triticum_aestivum_CS42_TGACv1_scaffold_408132_5BL
CAAGUACUCCCUCCGUCCGGAAUUACCUGUCAUCAAAAAUGGAUGUGUCUAGAACUAAAAUACAUCUAGAUACAUCCAUUUCAAUGACAAGUAUUUUCGGACGGAGGGAGUACAAG